rnacentral:rRNA from 1 species
UACGGAGGGUGCAAGCGUUAUCCGGAUUCACUGGGUUUAAAGGGUGCGUAGGUGGGCAGGUAAGUCAGUGGUGAAAUCUCCGGGCUUAACUCGGAAACUGCCGUUGAUACUAUCUGUCUUGAAUAUCGUGGAGGUUAGCGGAAUAUGUCAUGUAGCGGUGAAAUGCUUAGGUAUGACAUAGAACACCCAUUGCGAAGGCAGCUAACUACACGAUCAUUGACACUGAGGCACGAAAGCGUGGGGAGCAAACAGG